AACGAACGCUGGCGGCAGGCCUAACACAUGCAAGUCGAGCGCGCCCUCCGGGGUGUUCGGCGGACCGGUGAGUACCACGUGGGAACUUGCCCUUUUCUACGCUAUAGCCUCGUUAAACUUAGCGUAAUCCAGUUUACGCUCAUUCGGGGUAAGAUUUAUCGGAAAAGGAUCGGCCCGCGUUGGAUUAGGUAGUUGGUGGGGUAAUGGCCUACCAAGCCGACGAUCCAUAGCUGGUUUGAGAGGAUGAUCAGCCACACUGGGACUGAGACACGGCCCAGACUCCUACGGGAGGCAGCAGUGGGGAAUCUUAGACAAUGGGGGCAACCCUGAUCUAGCCAUGCCGCGUGAGUGAUGAAGGCCUUAGGGUUGUAAAGCUCUUUCAGCUGGGAAGAUAAUGACGGUACCAGCAGAAGAAGCCCCGGCUAACUCCGUG
rnacentral:rRNA from 1 species